AUUGAACGCUGGCGGCAGGCUUAACACAUGCAAGUCGAGCGGAGAUGAGGUGCUUGCACCUUAUCUUAGCGGCGGACGGUGAGUAAUGCUUAGGAAUCUGCCUAUUAGUGGGGGACAACAUUCCGAAAGGAAUGCUAAUACCGCAUACGUCCUACGGGAGAAAGCAGGGGAUCUUCGGACCUUGCGCUAAUAGAUGAGCCUAAGUCGGAUUAGCUAGUUGGUGGGGUAAAGGCCUACCAAGGCGACGAUCUGUAGCGGGUCUGAGAGGAUGAUCCGCCACAGUGGGACGGGGACACGGCCCAGACUCCGACGGGAGGCAGCAGUGGGGAAUAUUGGACAAUGGGGGGAACCCUGAUCCAGCCAUGCCGCGUGUGUGAAGAAGGCCUUAUGGUUGUAAAGCACUUUAAGCGAGGAGGAGGCUACUGAGACUAAUACUCUUGGAUAGUGGACGUUACUCGCAGAAUAAGCACCGGCUAACUCUGUGCCAGCCGCCGCGGUAA
rnacentral:rRNA from 1 species